ensembl:lncRNA
AUGUGGUCAGCACUGUUUAGCUCUAAAAAUGACAAAUCCAUGUCUGGAUUUGGUUAUUCAUUCAUUCAUUCAUUCAUUUUUUUUAUUAUUUUCCAGCUUUACAGACAGAAUCCGCCUUCAUUCACUUUAAUUGUGUUGAAAGUUCUAAACAUUUUCCACAGACGAGUUUGGAGCGACAUUAGGGUUGUUCAGUUCAUGAAGUCUUCAGUUCUUCGGGCCCAUGGGUGAGCUUUAUCUGAUGUGUGUGGGAGCCAUGACUGGAGGAAUCUGACAGCACAGACGCUGCUAUGUUUGCACUCAUUAACUCAGCUAUUGUAUCCACUGGUCCACGUGUGACACCCCCACGUCUGUCCCAGUCGGAGUAUUUGUGUCUGGAGAGCACCGACAGCUAUUCAGGACUACAGAGAUUCCUGUUGUUACUGUCCUUGUGUUUGUUUGUUUGUUUGUUUAUUUAUUUAUUUAUUCGUAGUUAGUGAGUUGAUUGUUUGGUUUUUCCUUCACAUUUUAUUUGAUUAAAUUUACAUUUAUAAAAACAAAUAAUAUAUACAUAUAAAUGUAUUUUUAUGAAAUUUUGUAUAAUGUAUUAUAGCUGUAUAAGUGUUUGUAUUUUAUAACAUUUAAAUUACUUUUAGUUAUUCUUAUUAAUUAACUACUGGGGAAAAAGGCCAGACACUUGAUAAAUGAUACCAAUAUUUUCUUUUCAACCAAGUACUAUUUUUGUGAUUGCAAAGGAUAAAACUGAGUAAUUAUAACCAUUUAAAGGGAUACUCCAUCCCAAAAUGAAAUUUUUGUCAUUAAUCACUUACCCCCGUGUCGUUCCAAACUCGUAAAAGCAUUGUUUGUCUUCAGAACACAAUUUAAGAUAUUCUGGAUAAAACCAGGAGGCUUGUUACUGUCCUAUAGACUGCCAAGCAAAUAACAGUGUCAAGGUCCAAAAAAGUAUGAAAAGCAUCGUCAGAAUAAUCCAUCUGCCAUCAGUGAUUCAAACGUAAUGUUAUGAAGCGACGAGAAUACUUUUUGUAUGCGAAUAAAACAAAAAUAACGACUUUAUUCAACAAUUUGUCUCCUUUGUGUCACUCCACAUUAGCGUAGCGCCAUUUUGGCAAAUCUGAGCUGUACACACGCAGCGUACGCUCUUCUGUGACAGCCGUUUUCUUUCAAAUCAAAGUGUAAAUAUAUGUAGAAAACAUAUCCUUGUGGCGCGGCUGGCACAGAAGACUGUAUACUGCCUGCAUACAGCUCAGAUUUGCCAAAAUGGCACUACGCUGAUGUUCUCACCUGAUGUGAACUGACGCAGAGGAGACAAAUUGUUGAAUAAAGUCGUUAUUUUUGUUUUAUUCGCAUACAAAAAGUAUUGUCGUCGCUUCAUAACGUUACAGUUGAACCACUGAUGGCAGAUGGACUAUUCUGAUGAUGCUUUUCAUACUUUUCUGGACCUUGGCAGUGUAUUUUUACAUUGCAGUCUAUUGGACAGUCUCAAGCCUCCCUGUUUUCAUCCAAAAUAUCUUAAAUUGUGUUCCAAAGAUGAACAAAGAUUUUACGGGUUUGGAACGAAAUGGGGGUAAGUGAUUAAUGACAACAUUUUCAUUUUGGGGUGCAGUAUCCCUUUAAUAUUAUAUUUAAAAUAAUUAUAUUAUUUUUGUGGAAACCGAUAAUUUUUUUUUUUUGGGGGGGGGGUAGUGUAUGUUUCAAUGGUACUGUACAUUCAUUGUUAUUUAGUGAGAAUUAGACAAGAGGAACAAAGAAAGAAAUAGUUCCAAUUCUACACCACUGUUUGUGAACACACUUAUUUUUAUCAACCACUAUUAUUUGGGAAAGCGUAAUCUGAGGACUGUAUCCUUGUAUAUUGUUCCAAAGAGCUGUAGCAUUCAUCACAUUUGAGUCACUUGUUUAGAGAACGCUGAUGAUGUUUCACGGACCCCUGAGCAGGAAAAAUACUAUUCCCCUGGCCAAAACAUUAGACUGAAACGUCCUUGAUUCCUGAGUCAUGCACAAGUUUAGGUUUGAACAACUGGAUUCUGUCAUCAACACCCAUCUGCAAGCGUCAUGCAUCAGACAGAACAGUAAUAUACUGUUGAUGUGAGCUAUCCACACCAGCUGGAAGUAUUGCUUCACACAAGGUGAAGAAACACACCGUGUUCCUGAUAACAAGGCCUAUUUUCAAAAACUAAAAUUCUGUAAUGAUUUACUCAUUGUUAUGUGUUUCGAAACCCAGCUUUCUAUCUAAUGCCUUCAGAAGUCCUCUGGGAUACUUUUCUAGUCAUUUUCUGCCUCUUUUGGAGCUUGACAGUCCCUGGUCACCAUCCACUUUCAUUAAAUGGAAAAGAGCAGCUUUGACAUUGUGCUAAACAUCUGCUUUUGUGCUCCACAGAGCUGAUUUAUUUAUAGUCUGAACCCUGUUGCUGCUGGAAACAUCCAUCGUUGGUGGCACAAAGACAUGGUGGAGUUAGAUUGUUAUCGGCUUGUUGGAAGAUAUUAACCAGUCCAGUUUAGUCAAUUGGACUUAGUCAGGCCUCAGCGCAUUGAAAACAUUACAGUUGCUUCACGUUACAGACCAGUAAUGACUUUGAUGGUGCAGAUAAGAGGAAGUGGAUCUGGAUGUUUUUGUGGUUCUCAUGCACAACAGGCAAAGAUGGCCUGUCCUCGAGGGCCUGUUAUGCAGACAGAUCAUGUAUCAUAAGCCAACUCUGUGGCUGAAUUUCAUAAUAAAUGGACCCCAUUUGGCCAGAUGAGAAGAAAAUGAGGAUUUCAGGAGACAUUAAAUCGUUAUGAAGACUACAAGAAAAUAAAAUUACAUCCAACAGCCAAC